UAACGAUUUUAGAAUUUUUGACGUCAUUUUUCAUGUAAAAUUUUCUAAUAAAAUGAUGUAAAUUAUAUUGAAAAAUUCAUCGUGCAAAAAUAAUAAACGUCAAUGGAAUAAUUGAUUUUUUUAAAAACACAAGACGGGUUAAACACCUCUUUUAGUACGUACGUUUGACGCAUAUUUAAUUAUUUUCAAUAUCUGUUUGACCCAUUCGAUAUGACUACGAUGUAGUUCUCAAAACGAGUUUUCAGAUGAUGCAGAUGAUUUAUAGAUUCAAAUAGUAAACGAUCAUUGACAAAUUUUAAAAGUUAGCAUAUUACCGAAAUUUUUGAAAUAUUAAUUUGAAUCGACAUACAUUAAUACGUCGUAACUUUUCAUAUGAUUGAUCAUUUCUCACGCUAUUAAGAAGCAAAAAACUAGGCCAUGAGUGCUUCGAAAUGAUAUUAAGGAUGCAAUGUUUUGACUUCAUUUGGCAUGUAUUAAAGUAUGUCGAAAAUGGGUUAAAACAACUAUUUUUUGGGCAAAAAAAAAACCAAAAUUUUGUGGGGUCAUUUGAACCCACAUGACCCCAUGUGGGUUCGUCCCUGACUUGAUGAAAUAGUCAAUGGCAACAAUGAUAAGAGUAGCGCUUCCUCUUCCUUUUGGGAGCGGGCCAAUAAAGUCUAUACCCAACUUGGCGAACGGCCACGGACUAUGACCACGGAGAGGCUUUGAGAAGGUUGCCUUUGAAUGUUUGAGAAGUGUUGGCACUUGUCACAUUUUUGAACAAACUGGCAAGAGUCCCUUUUCAGGGUUGGCCAGAAGUAGCCUUGUCGAAGCACUUUGUGUGCUAAAGUCGUUCCUCCAGAGUGGUUACCGCACUCCCUCAUGGAUCUUUCUAAGUAUAUACACAAUUUCUUCCCCUCCCACGCAUCGGAGAAGUGGCGAGGAUAAGUCCCUUUUGUAGAGCACAUCAUCCUGGAGAUCAAAGUGAGCAACUCUCCUCCUCAAUUUCUUCAACUCGCUUUUCGAGGCUGGCAGUGAUUGAUCUUUGAGGUAGGCUACGAUGGGUUGCAUCCAAAGUGGGGUGCCUUCAAUCCACAGUACUUCUUCACCUCCAAAGAUGGAGAGCUUCGGUAGGCACUCAAUUGGGACAAUUUUUAGUAACUCCGAAUCCCUGCUGCUGGCCAAUUUGGACAGGGCGUCGACGUGUGUAUUUUUAAGGCGUGGGAUUUGAACUAGUUUGAAUCUCUCGAAGUGAGGGACUAGGUUCAUAAUCAAUUUUAAAUACGCAGCCAUGCCACUGUCUUUGACUGCAAAUUUUUCGUUGACUUGACUUACCACAAGCUGCGAGUCGCUACUUGCUAGGAGCCUUUUCACUUGCAUUUCUUUGGUUAGUCUAAGGCCCGCUAUGAAGGCCUCAUAUUUCGUAGGGUUGUUCGAGGCUUUAAAGUCGAACCUGACCGCGUAGUUUAGCUUAUAGCCCUUUGGGCUUUCCAAAAUAACUCCUGCUUCGGAGCCAAUUUCUCCAGACGAUCCAUCCACAAACAGGAUCCAUGUUGGGAGUUCGGUCGGUUCCAUUGUCGCCUUCAUUUUUGGGGCUUUAGCGAAUUCGACCACAAAAUUUGUGAGGAUUUGACCCUUGAUGGUGUUUCGGGGUCAAAACAGUAGGUCGAACUCGCUGAGCUUGAUUGCCUAUUUUAGCAAAUGGCCCGAAAUGUCUGUUCUCUGCAACACUUGUUUCAGGGAAAAGUUGGUGAAAACCUCAAUCGAAUGGACCUGGAAGUAAGGUCUCAACUUCAUUGAUGCUGUAAGAAGGGAGAGUGUAAGCUUUUCCAUAUCUGGGUAGCGCGUCUCCGCUGGGAGUAGUGCCUUGCUAAUAUAGUACACCAGUAAUUGAUACGUGUUUUCCUCUCUAACAAGGACUGUGUUGAAAACCUCGUUUGAGAUCGCCAAGUACAACAACAGUGGUUCUCGUGGUUUAGGUUUUGAUAGUAAGGUCGCCUCUCCUAAGUGCUUCUUCAGCGCUUGGAAGGCUUCCUCGUACUCAUCCGUCCAUUGGAAUUUUUUUCCUUGUUUCAAGAUUUUGAAGAAGGUUAGGCUCUUGUCAGUGGCCCUGGAGAUGAAGCGGCUGAUUGCGGCUAUCCGACCGUUGAGGCUUUGGACCUCCUUUGACUUCUGAGGUGACCUCAUUUCCAGUAAGGCCCUUAUCUUUUCUGGAUUUGCCUCGAUUCCUCUUUGGUUCACAAUAUACCCUAGAAAUUGACCAAAAGCUACCCUGAAGGUGUACUUCAGUGGGUUCAACUUCAUUUUAUACUUUCUAAGAAUCUGAAAGGUCUGGUCGAGGUGACCUACGUGUUUUUUCACCUAGAGGCUUUUAACUAGCAUGUCGUCCACGUAGACUUCCAUAGUUUUGCCAAUGAGCUCGGCAAACAUCAUAUUACCUAACCUUUGGUAUGUAGCUCCGGCAUUUUUCAACUCGAAGGGCAUCAUCUUAUAGCAGUACAAACAUCUAUCUGUGAUGAACGAUGUGGAUUCCUCAUCAGGUCGGAACAUGGGUAUCUGGUCGUACCCUGACUAUGCAUCCAUGAAGCUUAGGAGCUCAUGUCUAGCAGUGGAGUCCAUCAGUUGGUCUAUCCUUGGAAGAGGGAAGCUGUCCUUGGGACAUGUCUUAUUCAGAUUUGUGAUGUCUACACACACCCUCCAUUUCCCGCUAGGUUUCUUUACGAGGACUGGAUUUGAUAUCCACUUCGGAUAGAUAGCUUCUCUGAUAAAGCCGCUCCGGCUGAGUUUGUCGACUUCUUCUUUGAGCGUCUCAUAUCGCUCUGAAUUGAGGGCUCGUCUUUUCUGUCGGUAUGGGACGCAGGAGGAGUUGAUAUUGAGGUGGUGGCAACUGACCCUUGGGUCUACCCACCAUGUCCUUGUGCUUCCAGGCGAAGACAUCCAGGUUUCUUUUCGGGAAGUUCAUCAUUUCUUUUUUCACUUCAAGGGGUAGCGCUUUUCUUAUUCGCAAGACCUGAGUAGGGUCUUCAUGGCCGAUGGAAAAAGUUUUUAGCUCUUCCAUUGGAGUAGCAUUUGGUUUGAACUCGAUAAUUCAAGGAUCCAACUCAUCAAGAGGGUGCCCUUCUUCAGGGGCCUCUGCCAUGUCGACGUCUUCCUCCUAUUCGGAGAUAUGCCCUUGUUCAGGGGUGUCAAGCAUUUCUAUGUCCAUGUUGGCUUCGUCUACGAUACCUGUUAUGAUGACAUUAAUAGUGCGGGGUUUGAAUUUUCGCAGAGAGUUGAGUAACAUGCCCUUGAACCCAUUUGGUCACCUCGUACUGUAGCAAUUCCCUGCUCAGUUGGGAACUUCAUACACAAGUAAUGGAUGGAGGUAACUACCUAAAGACCUUUCAAGGUAGGUCAGCCUAAUACUCCAUGGUAAGUUGAUCUGUGGUCCACCACCAGGAACUCCAAGAAGUGGUGGGCCACUAGGGGGGCUAAUCCCAUCUCGACGCGUAGAGUAAUUCACCCUCGUGGGACGAUAUUAUUGCCCGUAAAUCCAAAUAGCGGGUUGGUCAUGGGGAUCAACCCGUGUACAAUUACAUCUUAUCAAAGGUGGAUCCGAACAGUAUAUUCACCGAGCUGCCAUUGUCGUCAAGCAUAUGUUUGAGUCCGUUUCGAGCCACUACAGCUCUUACCACUAACGCAUCACAAUGGGGUGGUGAACUCCUUGUGCAUCUUUUGGAGAGAAAGUGAUCGGGGCCAUUCUAUUAGCCACUUGGGUCUGAUUGAUAAUGUAAAUAAUUAUUGGUGGAUCAUUUGCUUCCCUUGUGUAGUUCCUGGUGUUGCCCCCGAUGUGAGGUCCUCCAAUGAUUGUAUCAAUUUCCCUGAUAACUUAGCCUCCAGAUGGGGCCUGAUCCCUAUGUCUGGAUUCUCCUCUGUCCCUGGAUUCUCUUCGGGCGAUUGGCCUCUAUAUCGCCUUUCUCCCCUAUUCAGGGAGAUGAACUUGCAAGGAUAUUCUUCCCUCUGCGGGGUACUCCGGUUCAAGGAUCGAGGAGCAUCCCUAUAUUCGCUGGUGGCGUGCCCGUAAAGUUGGUGAAAGGUGCAGAACCUUGCCCCUUCUAGGGGCCUGUUUCAUCACUUCUUCUUCUUCUUUCGAUUGUUGUUUGUUCCUCCGGAUGGUCCGCUUCGGCAGGAGCAUUUUCAUAUGCUAGCACUGGCACUGAAUUUAGAGUAGCUGAAGCCAGCGCCUGUCCGGAUGUAGGGGCUACCGUGUGAUCGGCCUACGUCCAUUGCUGGGUGACAAGGUGUGCUGUCGGUCCUCGACCUACCUGUCGCUUAGGUGGAGGGAGUCACUGCGUUGCACGAUUUCGAUGGUCAAUCAUCUCAUCAUUGACAAUCUCUACCCUCAUCAUUUCUACCAGUUCGUCAUAGGUAGUGGGAUUCUUGCUACGUACAUCCUUCCAGAAUAAAGUGUUCAUGUUGAGGCCACCUUUCAAAGCUGAAAGGGCCUCUCUAUCAGUGACUUGCUCGUAAUAUGUGAUUUCAUCAGUGAAUCUGGCAAGAUAGCUUUUCAGCGUCUCACCCUAAGCUUGCCUCAUAUCUUGCAGCCGUUGCACCGGGGCCUCUUCUUCCCUUCGUGAAAGGUAUUGAUUUAGAAAUGCUUUCUUCAAGUCUAGCCAGCUUCUGAUACUAAGGGGUGGUAAUCUGUUGUACCACACUUCUGUAGCUCCGGUGAGAGUUAGAUGGAAGGCCCUACAUUUUAGUAUCGGGGGGCUCAUCUGAGGCUCAUCUGCGUCAUGUACUUAGUCAGGUGUUUCUAUGGGUCCUCCUUUCCUUUAUACUUUGGGAUUUUAGGGGGCAAGAAAUUUGCAAGCAUCGGGCAGCUUCAAAUUUCUCUAGAGAAGAGUAGAUUGUCAUCAUUGUCAUCAAUUUCGUAGGAGCGACAUGGCCCUUCGGAGCCCUUCCCCUCUGAUUCAUUUUGGGAAGGUGGAGGUGCCUCUUCUCAAUUACCCCAAUCCACUAGGUUUUGUCCUCUCCCGCCUAUUUCUAGGCGGAGGAUGUACUUGUCCUUGUUCCUACUCUUGUCGAACUGAUCUUUUCACAGAGUAAACCCUAUUGUUAGGAUUCUGCCAUAUUCUGUCGAAGACACUGACAGGCCUUUGUGGUUCGUAUUCUGGUGAGAAGUUCUCUCCGAAUGGUGGUUUUGCUAGUUGGCUCCCUUAUGUGUAGGAUGUGACAUCAACACCCAUUUCUCUUUCAAGGGGAUGUUUUCGGCGCUGGCUCGACUGGCCUCGACCAUGAGGCGCAGGAAUUUCUUGGGCUGGAUAUGGCCUUUGAUACAUCUAGAAGCCUUGAUAACGUCGGGCCUGCAUGAAGAAUUCACGCAUCGCCAUAUUUUGAGCAACAAUGUCCCUCAUUCCAGCAACUAUUUGAGCCAUUCCUACAAUGAGCACUGUUGUCCUGUUGCCAUGGUAAUACUGGUGAUGGGUCUCCGAUGCGUGACAUUGGUCCGAAUUACCUCUUCUUCAGAGGCAUCUUUCUGCCCUGCGUAAUUUGUAUCUUCAUUACUCUAACUCAUUUUGUCUACCUUUUCAAGGGUGUUAAGAACUUUGUAGGUUGACUUUGUUCUUUUUCAAUAAUGUGCCCUUUUCAGGGUAAGUCGGUGGUUUGCCGGUGGACAAUGUGGAACUUUUGGAUGAAAAGUUCCCACAGACGGUGCCAAUAUGUUGACCUCGAGAUUUGGACCCUCCAUGUGGCCAACGGAUAAUUACUCCACGUAAUCCUCCUUGUGCACAACAACACAUGGUCAGACGCCUACGGUCGGAACCAGCGAUGGUGGUGGCGACCGCAUACACUCCGACGAUCUAGUCAACAUUGGGUGAUUGGCACAGUGCUCAAGUUAUGCAAGAGAGUGGGGAGGAGAAUAUAUAUUUCUUAGUAUAGAGAGCUAAGUUAAUAAGAGUUUCAUUACCUCUUUCUCUUGCCAAACCUUGGGUAUUUAUAGAUGUAGAGCAUCGUUGGAUGUGAGACACGUGUAUGCAUCUGACGAUGUGAGGCGUCCGCUCAUAGGUGUCAAUCAGUCGCGUCUAGAGUGGACGGACAAUUAGUUCUUCUGAGUUGAAUUGAUAUAAAGUUGAUACGUCAUAUCAACUAGACCUAUGAAAAUGUCACAUCAAUUGAUCUUUGGAGAUAUCUGACGGUGGCGACGAGGGAUCUGUCAAUGGAGUGCUUCGGAGUUGAGGGACACUUCAGUGGAUCUACUCUUCACCCUGCGACGCGCCAUGUUGAGGUCUUCAGGAGUGGGCAUCACUUCGGACGAGCACGUGGCACUUCAGGGGUGGCGUGACUGUUUCUCCGAAGUGAUUUAGUUAGGGAUGUAAUAGUGUUGACCUCGAGAUUUGGACCCACCACGUGGCUAACGGAUAGCUACUCCACGUAAUCCUCCCUGCGCACAACAACACAUGGUGAGAAGCACACGGCCAGAACCAGCGACGGCAGUGGUGGCCGCAUACGUUCCGACGAUCAAGUCAACAUUGGGUGAUCGGCACAGUGCUCAAGUUAUGCAAGAGAGUGGAAAGGAGAAUAUAUAUUUCUUAGUAUGAAGAGCUAAGUUAAUAAGAGUUUCAUUACCUCUUUCUCUUACCAAACCAUGGGUAUUUAUGAAUGUAGAGCACCGCUGGAUGUGAGACACGUGUAUGCAUCUGAUGGUGUGAGGCGUCCGCUCAUAGGCGUCAAUCAGCCACGUCUAGAGUGGGCGGACAAUUAGUUCUUCUGAGUUGAGUUGAUAUAAAGUCGAUACGUCACAUCAACUAGACAUAUAAAGAUGUCACAUCAAUUGAUCUUUGGAGAUAUCUGACAAUGGCGGCGGGGAAAUCUGUCAAUGAAAUGCUUCGGAAUGUUCAGCACUUUGGAGUGGAGGGACACUUCGAUUAUUUCAAUGGAUCUACUCUUCACCUUGUGGCGCGCCAUGUUGAGAUCGUCAGGAGUGGGCAUCACUUCGGAACCACUUCGGACAAGCAUGUGGCAUUUCGGGGGGUAGCAUGACUUUUUCUCCGAAGUGAUUUAGUUAGGGAUGUAACAGUUGUAAAAACUCUUCCCUCAACGGCAACACCAACCUUCGCAACACACGCUGAAACGCUGCAAAAGGUCUUUUGCAUCAUUUUUUGGCUGCUGCAAAAACCUUUUUUUGGUGUAGUGACACAUACUUAAAAUUCUGUUGGCAAUACUUGUAAAAUCAUGUAAACACACUUCUAUCUAAUUGUCGAAGCAAACACUUUCCAAUUCGUGUUGACUUAGCAAACUUUUACAUGUUAAUAUCGUGCUAGCUUUGCAUGUGGUUAAGUCAUACAAGGUAUCUCAUUAACUUGAGCUUUGCCCUCUCCAAAUAGGUCUACAGUAGGCACAAAUCAAGACCUUAGCUAAAAAUCUCCUCUAGUUAACUUGGGAGAACAUGAGCUAAAUAACUUUAGAUUCUUUAUUCACGGGCAAUAAUGAUAAACCAUUUGAUCUUGAACGAUAACU
rnacentral:lncRNA from 1 species